CACGGGGGGAGCAAGCGUUGUUCGGAAUCACUGGGCGUAAAGGGCGUGUAGGCGGUCUGGUAAGUGGGAUGUGAAAGCCCCCGGCUCACCCGGGGAUCUGCAUUCCAAACUGCCAGACUUGAGUAUGGGAGAGGACAGGGGAAUUCCUGGUGUAGCGGUGAAAUGCGUAGAUAUCAGGAGGAACACCGGUGGCGAAAGCGCCUGUCUGGCCCAAUACUGACGCUGAUGCGCGAAAGCUAGGUGAGCAAACGGG
rnacentral:rRNA from 1 species